rnacentral:rRNA from 1 species
UAACGAAUAUUCCGCAAUGGACGAAAGUCUGACGGAGCAAUGCCGCGUGCAGGAUGAAGCGGUUUCGCCGUGUAAACUGCUGUCAGGGGCAGGAAAAACUGAUCCGCCCCAAAGGAAGAGACGGCUAACCCUGUGCCAGCAGCCGCGGUAAUACAGGGGUCUCGAGCGUUGUUCGGAUUUACUGGGCGUAAAGGGCGCGUAGGCGGCGUGGUAAGUCACUUGUGAAAUCUCCGAGCUUAACUCGGAACGGUCAAGUGAUACUGCUGUGCUAGAGUACAGAAGGGGCAAUCGGAAUUCUUGGUGUAGCGGUGAAAUGCGUAGAUAUCAAGAGGAACACCUGAGGUGAAGACGGGUUGCUGGGCUGAUACUGACGCUGAGGCGCGAAAGCUAGGGUAGCAAACGGGAUUAGAUACCCAAGUAGUCCCUGAGCGGGCUGGCAAGGCGCAU